rnacentral:rRNA from 1 species
UACGUAGGGUGCGAGCGUUGUCCGGAAUUAUUGGGCGUAAAGAGCUCGUAGGCGGUGUGUCACGUCGGCCGUGAAAACCUGGGGCUUAACUCUGGGCGUGCGGUCGAUACGGGCAUCACUAGAGUUCGGCAGGGGAGACUGGAAUUCCUGGUGUAGCGGUGAAAUGCGCAGAUAUCAGGAGGAACACCGGUGGCGAAGGCGGGGUCUCUGGGCCGAUACUGACGCUGAGGAGCGAAAGCAUGGGUAGUGAACAGG